UCACUUAACAGUCAAAAAACUGAUACAAUUUCAAUUAUCUGUAAAAAUACCUUGAAGAGCAAAACCACAUAGGAAUGUGCUGAUUUGAAUAUUCAUAUUUUGGAGUCUGACUUGAAAAAUAUUUGUUUACAUAUUUUUGUAGGUGGAAAGUAUUCUCUCAAAGGUAUUAUUUUAAGACAAUUAUAAAAUACAAGGAUUUUCAAAAAAAAUAGAAAGGCAGUUAAUUAAGUAGCUCCCAUGGAAACCACCAGAGAAAAUGUUAACAGGGUCAGCAUAGGAUAGAAAGACAGAACUGAACAGCGAAAGUUAAAGCUUUACUCUGUGCCAUUGAACGAGUCACAUUUUUUUCCCCCUGCACUCUUAGCUAUAUAAUACAUAGUUUGAAUUUGCUUAAAAUUCUCUAUUUUGAUAUGCUGUAUCCUUUAAGUGGAUGUUGAAGUUGUUCAAAUGUAAAGUUUGUUUUUGCUUUCAUAGAUACUGAAAAAGGGGUGAAGAAAACGUGAUUGGGUAGAAGGCUCCCUUUUCUAAAAUGUGGAGGUUAUUUUGCUGGGAAGAAACCAUGAGGUCAAAUAGAACUCUGUGACUACUACCGCAUGCAGUAAACAUAACUCCUCUUGGAAUGGAUGCCAGGGCAGUGCACCAAAUACUGGCCAGUCCAGGUGUAGAGAAGUAAAUAAUUCACAGUGGGAAUUAUUUCUGAGUUGCUGCAAAAUGUUGGUGCUUCUGCUGUCUUUUUCUUUGAGUUCCAAAGUUGCCAAGAACUCAUUCACAGCAUUUCUCAUGCAUUGGGAGGAUGCUGCAGAAGAGAGUCAGGAAGAAGGGGCGGAAAGGAGGCAUCAGGGAGGAAGUGGGGGAACACAAGCAUCUGAAUGCCCAGAAGGACAGGCUCCUGAGUCACAUUUCUGUUUCCGCUGAGACGGCUUCGCACUGACAAAGCUGGGCCUUCUGGAUCCCCAUGCGUCUUAGUCUGUAUUUUAAAACACAGGUUGUUGCAAUAACAGUCCUCAGUCUGUCCACACCUCCCCAUAUCCUUCCCUUGGGUAACCCCUCCGCACUGACUCUGAGCUGGACCCGGGCAUGGAGCAAAUAGGACUUGAAAAGUGCUUGUGCUUUGGGCCAUCGCUUUGUCUUGCUCUUCGAACCCCAGGACUGUUAGGUGAAAACGCCUUCAAUAAACUACCCAUGGAGACAGGCA
rnacentral:lncRNA from 1 species